GGAGUUAGCCGGUGCUUCUUCUGUGAGUGAUGUCCUUCCUGCCGGCUAUUAACCCGCAGGCCUUCUUCCUCACUGAAAGUGCUUUACAACCCGAAGGCCUUCUUCACACACGCGGCAUGGCUGGAUCAGGGUUGCCCCCAUUGUCCAAUAUUCCCCACUGCUGCCUCCCGUAGGAGUCUGGGCCGUGUCUCAGUCCCAGUGUGGCUGAUCAUCCUCUCAGACCAGCUACGGAUAGUCGCCUUGGUGAGCCGUUACCUCACCAACCAGCUAAUCCGACAUAGGCUCAUCCGAUAGCGCGAGGCCCGAAGGUCCCCCGNUUUCCCCCGUAGGGCGUAUGCGGUAUUAGCCUGGGUUUCCCCCAGGUUAUCCCCCACUACCGGGCAGAUUCCUAUGCAUUACUCACCCGUCCGCCGCUCGCCACCAGGGAGCAAGCUCCCCGUGCUGCCGCUCGACUUGCAUGUGUUAGGCCUGCCGCCAGCGUUCAAUCUGAGCCAGGAUCAAACUCUGA
rnacentral:rRNA from 1 species